rnacentral:rRNA from 1 species
UACGUAGGGGGCGAGCGUUGUCCGGAAUUACUGGGCGUAAAGGGUGCGUAGGCGGCGAUGCAAGUCCAUUGUGAAAAGCCCGGGCUUAACCUGGGAGGUGCAGUGGAAACUGUAUGGCUUGAGUGCAGGAGAGGGAAGUGGAAUUCCUAGUGUAGCGGUGAAAUGCGUAAAUAUUAGGAGGAACACCAGUGGCGAAGGCGACUUUCUGGACUGUAACUGACGCUGAGGCACGAAAGCGUGGGGAGCAAACAGGAUUAGAUACCCUGGUAGUCCACGCCGUAAACGAUGGAUACUAGGUGUAGGGGGUAUCGACCCCCCCUGUGCCGGAGUUAACACAAUAAGUAUCCCGCCUGGGGAGUACGGCCGCAAGGUUGAA